GGCCCAAGCAAAGGAGAGAAUAUUGGGUACCCCAAGGGUACCCCGUCAGCAUUGACACCUGCUACCCCAAUUCAAUUAAAACAUGACACGUGGCUAACUUUCCACAUCAGCAUCAUGCUCAACAUAGCAGCAAGCCACUAACGGAGACGUCGUCAACUUUCUUUCUCUCUCCUCAGCCCUCCAUCCCACUUUCUCUCUCUCUCCUCGUUGCUUUUUUCAGAGAACCAAGUAUCCCACUUUCUUUCUAUCUCCUCAUUGCUUUUUUCGGGGAACCAAGUUAUGGAUUGGGGCUGAGACGAAAUUCUAAUUUCCCACAUAACAAUGGUUACAAUGAGUCCCGUUCUCUCUGUUAUUUCUCUCAUGAGUUUUUGAGGUUGAUUUGCAAGACUUCCCUGUAGGUUCUCUGAAAUUAGCUUUAUACUAUUUUUGGUAUCACCUAUAGGAUAAUCCUCGCUUCUCCUGUGAGGCAGCGAAUUCCAGGUUGGACUUCUGGGACAUUAUAGCAUGCUGCUCGGAGUUCUGGACCAGCAGCUCUAUGUAUGGCUAUCAAAAGGACACCCAAAAUUACGGCAAGGAUUUGGAUGAUGGGCCAUCCGAGAAGUACGUUGAUUGCUGAGAAUCCGGCGAAGAACGUGAUGGCGACGGCGAGAGAGGAUCGGCGGCAAAAACUGAAUCGGCGAUGUGCAAUUUCAGGUAAGGAUUCCUGGUUCGGCCGGCUGGUGCAGCGAUGACGAUGGCGAUGGCGGCAUGGCCGGCGAUGGGCUGUGGAGAGGUCGGUUGUGACCUUGCGGUGCGGCACCGGUGGGCAAGAAUUGGCCGGCUGGCUUUGCCGGUUUUGACACAAGCGGCCGACAACCGAUUCACUUACAAAACCUAUACUGGUUAUCUAGCCUUGUGUUCAAAAUCCUCAUUUUUUUGUUCAUUAUUGAGUGAUUAAAAAGGGUUUGGAUGGAAGUUAUUGGGUCUUUGUUUGUUCGCACAGGGAGUCCAAUCCGGCUUUCUUGUUGUGCAUACCAGCACGUUUGACUUGGUACUCGUUGAUGGUGAUUCCGACGACGUUCACGCCGGAGUGGACGGUGAUGGCCACCAACAUUAUUUCUAGUGGCCCACACAUACUGCUAGUUCACUUCAACCAACGUUGAAAAGAUCAUGUUCCAAUAUUGAAAAAUCAAGAAGAGUACGGCAAGGCAGAGUACAAAAGUAUAGUAGUACUACCGCAAAUAUCAUGUUCCAUUUUCAUUUCUUACAAACGUAUCUUUCUAAUUUUUUUCAAAUACAUAUAUUUAUAUAUAUAUAAGGACCUCCUAGUAUUGGUGCCACUAAGCAUUUA